rnacentral:lncRNA from 1 species
UUUGGGAUAUUGUUUAAGAAAUUCAUAUGUGACGUCACUUUGUGCGUUGAUGGUUUUGGCAAACUCGGCUGUGAAUUUUUAUGUGCUGGUUGAGGUUGUUUUAUGUAUCCGUUUUUAUUGUGUAGUUAGUCACCACUUCGAUUUUAUCAUGUAAAUCUAUUAUAUAGUCAUUUUAUAAAGCAUCACUGGUUGCAAAAUUAUGUAUUAUCCGAAAUAGUAAGGAUGUUCUUAUUCCAGGCAGAAACCCUAGCCGUAUUAGGUACAACUUUUUGGAACUUUU